rnacentral:rRNA from 1 species
AUUGAACGCUGGCGGCAGGCCUAACACAUGCAAGUCGAGCGGAGCGGCUGACGGGUGAGUAAUGCCUAGGAAUCUGACUGGUAGUGGGGGAUAACGUCCGGAAACGGGCGCUAAUACCGCAUACUAUCAGAUGAGCCUAGGUCGGAUUAGCUAGUUGGUGGGGUAAAGGCAUACCAAGGCGACGAUCCGUAACUGGUCUGAGAGGAGGAGCAGUCACACUGAAACUGAGAAACGGGCAAGACUCCUACGGGAGGCAGAAGUGGGGAAUAUUGGACAAUGGGCGAAUGCCUGAUCCAGCCAUGCCGGGUGUGUGAAGAAGGUCUUCGUAUUGUAAAGCACUUUAAGUUGGGAGGCGUUACCAACAGAAUAAGCACCGGCUAACUUAGUGCCAGCAGCCGCGGUAAUUC